rnacentral:ncRNA from 2 species
UAUUUAUAAUUAGCGCCUGGACUUUAUAAGUUGACGAGGUUUGUAAUUAUCGAAAGAUUCGGCGGAUGUUACAACGGGUUUUUGUGUUAAACGUUAAAUAUAUUAAAAAAAUAAAAUAAAUAUUAUAACAAAAAAUAUAUUAAACACAUAA